GUGCACUUUGGCAGCACAUAUACUAAAUAGCAAUGAUACAGAGAUAAUUAAUAUAGCCCCUGAGCAAGGAUGAUAGCAAAUUUGUGGAGCAUCCCAUAUAUAU
rnacentral:snRNA from 1 species